rnacentral:lncRNA from 1 species
UUCUCUAUUGUACUUAGAGUCUUCCCAUGAUGGACAUCCAGAUGGCAUGAUGCUCUUCUUUCUCUCGGCAGUUCAGAACACUCUUCAUGUAGUAGAACUCUCACUUCUACAUAGUAGAACUCACACUUCUACUUCUUGCUUGAUCUGACUUUUGAGUGUUCUUGGUGGAUCGUAGAGUGAGCCUCUGGACUCACUAUCACUUGAUUCGAUCAGUCCACCUUCUCUCCAAAACUCACAACUCCAGCAACCUUUGAUCUUUGAAACUCUUCUACAUUUAUACAUCUUCCCAAUUCUUCCGUUGGAAAGUAGCCGUUGGAAGCUAUUCAAAUGUCUUCGCAGAUCUCGAGUUGCUUGAGGUAGACUGCUUGAUGUGACAUGUCAUACUUU